CUCCAGCGUUCAUCACCCCAAAGCAGUUAAACCAUUUUCCAUCAAUCAGAAGGAAAACUUCCUUCUGGAAGACAGCACCGUGUAUUUUAUGCUUUACGUAACAAUACUUUUGAUGAUCCUCUCUCGAGUAAACGCCUGCACCCUUGUUUUCCCAAAGAACAAAUUGCACAGUUAGCCGCGCACCUAAGGAAGCCUUUGGCACCCGGGUCCAUUGGCCGGCCCGGUCCAGCUGGCCCCCCUGGGCCCCCAGGACCCCCAGGCUCCAUUGGUCACCCUGGCGCUCGAGGACCCCCCGGAUACCGCGGUCCCACUGGGGAGCUGGGAGACCCCGGGCCCAGAGGAAACCAGGGUGACAGAGGAGACAAAGGCACGGCAGGAGCAGGGCUGGACGGGCCUGAAGGAGACCAGGGGCCCCAAGGACCCCAAGGCGUGCCCGGCACCAGCAAGGACGGCCAGGACGGUGCUCCCGGCGAGCCUGGGCCUCCCGGAGAUCCUGGGCUUCCAGGUGCCAUUGGGGCCCAGGGGACACCGGGGA
rnacentral:sRNA from 1 species